GACGUAGGGUGCAAGCGUUGUCCGGAUUUAUUGGGCGUAAAGAGCUCGUAGGCGGCUUGUUGCGUCGACUGUGAAAACCCGCGGCUUAACCGCGGGCUUGCAGUUGAUACGGGCAGGCUAGAGUUCGGUAGGGGAGACUGGAAUUCCUGGUGUAGCGGUGAAAUGCGCAGAUAUCAGGAGGAACACCGGUGGCGAAGGCGGGUCUCUGGGCCGAUACUGACACUGAGGAGCGAAAGCGUGGGGAGCGAACAGG
rnacentral:rRNA from 1 species